rnacentral:lncRNA from 1 species
CCAGUGGACACAUUAGAAAACUGAGGCCUAGAAAGGGCAAGUGUGAAGGUGUCUGUUCUAUUGCUGUUGUAACAGAUGACUGCAAAUUAGUGGCUUAAAACAACACAAAUUUGUUACCUUAUAGUUCUGGAGGUUGGAAGUCCAAAAUGGAUCUCACUGAGUUAAAGCACAGUGAAAGAAUCCAAAAAUGUAGGAGAGGCAUACACACCUUUUGUGGGUUAUCUGCUCAAAUCAAAUCCAAGAGGAUCAUCCAUCAAUGUCCAAACUCACACGAUGUCAAGACUUACUGCUUUACUAAAAGGUCCAAGGUCUGGUCUUGACCAUCUGUAUUUUAUUUCCUUAUCUGGAAGAGGAGCCAUUGAAGAGUAGAACUGCCAAGUUUCCCCCUUGAAGCCUGUUUUUCCUUCAACCCUACUCUUGUCUUGCAGUUUUUUCAAGAACUGAGGUCCUCCUUGCAUUGGACGUGAGAGCCCAACUCUGCUUUAUUAUACAGCAAAUUGCUAUAUAAGUGAAGGACGCACCUGCCACGCCUCAACUUUCUUGAUGUCUGCACAGGAGCCAUUGGUGAAGAGCCCUCUCCCAGCUAUUGGGAAGAGCAAGGAAAAGUGCUGGAUCCCUUCUGGAAGUUGCAAGUCUCUCUAGAAGAUGGGUCAAGAUUUGGAGCACAGUCAGUCUCCAGUGUAGAUUAGGGGAGGUGAUAAACAGUCCCAACCAUAUUCUGCAGAAGUCAGAUCCCAUUUAAAGAGAUGUGCCUCACCCUGGAGACUAUAUUCUAAAAGGGUCGCAGUAAAUUAGGGGGCAUCAGAUGGAGGACAACCAGGAUGAUGACGGGUCUGGAAAGCAUAUCAUGGAGAAAAUGAUGAUAAAACAGACUAUGUGGCUUGGAGAAGAAAAUAUUUGAUGAGACAUAUUAGCUCUCUUCAAGUGGCCACAGAGAGAAUCUAUUGAGAGAGUGAGAUGCAUUCUUGGCAGGGUGGAUGGGGGGUGGGGAGGGUGGCAAGGGGGGAUAACCUUCCUAUGCAAAAGACUUUUUGAUGGCAGUAGUUCCAAAAUGCUAUGGACUACAUUUUACAGUUUGAAGAUGCCUGGGUCAUGCUGACUACUGUGGUUUCUUUCAACUUAAAUGCCUUAAAAAAAAGAAAGAAAAAAAAGAAAAAGAGUGAGGCAGCCAGCACUCAGGUAUUACUAUCCAUUGGAGCAUGUAAGGUCAAUGGGGGAUUUUACUACUCAGGUUUGCAAGACCUGCAAUAAAUUUCCUUCUAGGUACUUAGUCUUCCAUUAAGCAACACUGCUGCCAGGUGAACGAUGAUAACUUGGUCACCAAAUGACCACCAGGUGCUUUAACAGGCCAUGCAUGGAUUUUCUACUUAAUAUCAUUGACAUUUUAUUUAAAAAGAAGUCUUCAGGAAAAAAAAGGCAGGUUGUGGGGGCAAUAAGCUUCAGCAUGAUUACCAAUCAAUCACUAUUCUUGAAAAGAUAGGACAAAGUUUGAAAAAAUUAUUUUGCGUUUGGUGCAGCUUUUCUCCAACCACUCAGAAGAGAAGAGAUUGGCAGAUUAGGCCCCUCUUCUUACCUGAUACAUUCCACAGACUCCGGCCUUGAUUUGAGAUCUUGAUCUUUAGCUGCU